rnacentral:tRNA from 1 species
AGUAAUAUGGCUGAAAUAUUUAAUAAGCAAUAAAUUGUAAAUUUAUUUAUGAAUUAAUAAAAAAUUCUGUUACUA